rnacentral:rRNA from 1 species
CCUACGGGUGGCAGCAGUGAGGAAUAUUGGUCAAUGGGCGGAAGCCUGAACCAGCCAAGUAGCGUGCAGGAUGACGGCCCUACGGGUUGUAAACUGCUUUUAUACGGGAAUAACGCGCCUUACGUGUAGGGCUUUGCAUGUACCGUAUGAAUAAGGACCGGCUAAUUCCGUGCCAGCAGCCGCGGUAAUACGGAAGGUCCGGGCGUUUCCGGAUUUAUUGGGGUUAAAGGGAGCGUAGGCCGCAUGUCAAGCGUGCUGUGAAAUGUCCGGGCUCAACCCGGGCCUUGCAGCGCGAACUGGCGUGCUUGAGUCCGCGGAAAGCAGGCGGAAUUCGUCGUGUAGCGGUGAAAUGCUUAGAUAUGACGAAGAACCCCGAUUGCGAAGGCAGCUUGCUGCAGCGGAACUGACGCUGAUGCUCGAAAGCGCGGGUAUCGAACAGGAUUAGAUACCCCAGUAGUC